GAAAUUUUAGUUAAAAAUUUAUAACAUAUAAUUGUCAUUUAUAUUUUACUUAAAUAAGUAAAUUUCU
rnacentral:tRNA from 1 species